UACCUGGUGGCGUUUCUCUCCUCAACCUCUCUCGGCUUCCGACCUCUGCAGCACCCAUUGGCCAAUAGGCUGUCUGUCCGCGGAGUAUUGUCCAAUGAAUGGGCGCGCUGGGUCAGAGGCGGUGGCGAGGGCGGAGCGACGGCGCGAGCAGGGCGGAGAGGGAGAAGGAGGGGUGACGCAGCGGCGCGGUGACGCAGCGUGGCGGCGGCGACGACGGCAGCAGCGGCGGCGACGGCGUCGGUCGGUGUGAGGAGAGAGGGAGGGAAGGCGGAGAGAGCGAGGCGAGUGGGGGCGGCGGUGGCGCGGGCCGGAGGCGAUUCACUCAGCCCCUGCUUGAACAUAGCAUGGAAUGAGGAGCGCCUGGCCUGAUGAGACUUCUGAUUGUUACUUUGGUUGAGUGGAAACGUGCUUCCUUUUGAUCUCCAGUCACUGGGCUCUUAUCUGCCCUGUGGAACCAAGAGAAUCAGUUGGCUCCUAUUUGUGUGACAGGUCUUCAGGAGCUCACAGAAACCUCCCUGAUGUGAACAGGCCUCUGCCCCCGCUGCCCCUCCCGGGAUUUUCUAAGCACCCUGACCCACACUCACCCCCCUCUCUGGGGAGAGACAACAGGAUUCUGGAGCCGAGACCAUGUGACAGCAUUGCCCUUCCCCACCAUUCCCCCACCCCCGGCCUCUGCCGGUGCCAAGCCCAGGCCCUGGCCACGGCACCAUGAUGUUCCGAGACCAGGUUGGCAUCCUUGCUGGCUGGUUCAAGGGCUGGAAUGAGUGUGAGCAGACGGUGGCCUUGCUGUCACUGUUGAAGCGAGUCACCCGGACCCAGGCCCGAUUUCUGCAGCUUUGCCUGGAGCACUCCUUGGCAGACUGUAACGAUAUCCACCUUCUGGAGUCAGAGGCCAACAGUGCUGCCAUCAUUAACCAAUGGCAGCAAGAGUCCAAAGAGAAGGUCGUCUCCCUCUUGUUGUCCCAUCUACCCCUGCUCCAGCCUGGCAACACAGAGGCCAAGUCUGAGUAUAUGAAGCUGCUGCAGAAGGUGCUGGCCUACUCUAUAGAGAACAACGCCUUCAUUGAGGAGAGUCGGCAAUUGCUCUCCUAUGCCCUCAUUCACCCGGCCACCACAUUGGAGGACCGAAACUCACUAGCCCUCUGGCUCAGCCACUUAGAGGAACGGCUGGCUGGUGGCUUCCGGACCCGAGCUGAGACUGCCUACCACUCCCGCCAGGGCUCAGAUGAAUGGGGUGGCCCUGGGGAGGCUGGCCCUGGGGAGCUAGGGCCAGGCUGGCAGGACAAGCCACCACGAGAAAAUGGACAUGUGCCCUUUCACCCUUCUGGUGCAGUGCCAUCCACCAUCAACAGUAUUGGGAGCAAUGCUAAUGCAGGCCUCCCCUGCCCAAUGCACCCAAGCCCGCUGAAGCGUUCCAUGUCGCUCAUCCCCACGAGCCCGCAGGGCCCUGGUGAAUGGCUGAACCCAGAGGAAAUGGGGGCAAGAGCAGCCUUUGCCCCACCCGACCACGCGCCCCUCUCGCCCCAGAGCAGUGUGGCUUCCUCAGGCAGUGAGCAGACGGAGGAGCAGGGCUCCAGCCGGAACACUUUCCAGGAGGAUGGCAGUGGCAUGAAAGAUGUGCCAUUAUGGCUUAAGAGUCUUCGCUUACACAAAUACGCAGCCCUCUUCUCCCAGAUGAGCUAUGAGGAGAUGAUGACCCUGACUGAACAGCAUCUGGAAUCUCAGAACGUGACCAAAGGUGCCCGUCACAAGAUCGCCCUGAGCAUCCAGAAGCUUCGUGAGAGGCAGAGUGUCCUCAAGUCCCUGGAGAAGGAUGUGCUGGAAGGUGGGAACCUGAGGAAUGCUUUACAGGAGCUCCAGCAGAUCAUUGUCACACCCAUUAAGGCCUACAGCAUCCUUCAGGCAGCUGUGGUGGCUGCAGCCAAGGAGGGGGGCAGGGGGGAGCCGCCGCUGAGCGCUGAGCCCCCCCCAGCUCGCCCAGGCCCUGAGAAGGCCCCUGAGGCCAAGGAUGCCCCAGCAGAAAGCUAUCCCCCCCAGCCGGCCCCUGCCCCCAGUGAUGGUAGUGAGCCAGCCACAGCCCCUGUCGCCGAUGGAGACCUCCCUAGCCAGUUUACCCGUGUGAUGGGCAAAGUGUGCACCCAGCUGCUGGUGUCCCGGCCAGAUGAGGAAAACAUUACCAGUUACCUCCAGCUCAUCGAAAAGUGCCUGACACAUGAGGCUUUCACCGAGACACAGAAGAAGCGCUUGCUGUCCUGGAAGCAGCAAGUCCUGAAGCUGCUCCGAACGUUUCCCCGAAAAGCUGCCCUAGAAAUGCAGAGCUAUCGGCAGCAGCAGAAGGGCUGGGCUUUUGGCUCCAACUCUCUCCCCAUAGCUGGUUCUGUGGGGAUGGGAGUGACCCGGCGGGCCCAGAGGCAAUUCCAGAUGCCCCCUCGGGCCCUACCACCUAGCCGAAUGGGCAUCCUGAGCCCUGCGGGCAUUGGAGGCGUUUCACCUCGACAUGCCCUCACCAGCCCUAGUCUUGGGGGGCAAGGACGACAGAAUCUGUGGUUCGCCAACCCUGGAGGCAGUAACAGCAUGCCCAGCCAGAGCCGGAGCUCCGUGCAGCGCACUCACUCCCUCCCUGUGCAUUCCUCCCCCCAGGCUCUCCUCAUGUUCCCGCCAGAUUGCCAGGUCCCAGGCCCAGACCUGGAGAUCAACCCUACGCUGGAGUCUCUAUGCCUCAGCAUGACGGAGCACGCCUUGGGUGAUGGGACAGACAAAACUUCCACAAUCUGAUGUGACUGAGAGCCCAGCGGAUGUGUCGUCCCCCUGGGGUGGGGAGGGGAGUUACCUCCCUCUUCCCCCCCCUCUCUCUCCCUUCCCAGAGUUUCCGUACGAUUAAUUUCUUAGGCCUAUUUAAGACAUAUAUUUAUAUAGUUCUUAGCGGUUUCUCUGUCUCUCUCUUUCAAUCACUCCCUCCCUCCCUCUCAUUUUAAUCUCAUCAUUGGGUCUCUCUGAGCCAUGAUGUAUGGAGGGAGGGCAACAGGGGAGGCUGAGGGUCUGGGGGAUGGAACCAGGGGUGAGGGCAGCGCCUUCUCCCCCGUCCUCCCCCCCAAUCCCCCAGACUCCCCUUUACCCCCUGCCUAGCUCCUGGAGGCCCUGGGGGGAGGCAGGGCAGGGCAGAUAGGUGGGGGAGUGGCCAGUGGGGUCAGAAAGUCUGUUGCCUUAAUGCCCCCUCCCUUCACCCCCCCCUUCUAUACCCGCACCCUAACCAGGAGGCGAGAAACAGGGUGGGGGUAGGGAAUGGAAGGCUUCUCUUUUCAGUUUUUUCCUUUUCUUCUAGCCCUCUCCCUGCUCUGUCGUGACCUCACUAAAGUGGAACACUACAUCAUAGCCCAGAGUCCCAUCCCCCCCACCCCCUUGGGUGGAGGAGAGUGCCAGGGGCAGCGGGAGGGGAGAUGCCAGAGACUCCCACCCUCUCCCCCAGCCCCCCUUGGGUGGGCCUCUUCUUGGUACAGAAGCUUUUCCCACCCUGCCCCUUCCUACUGGGACUCUCUCAAGCUUUUCACACAGAAAAGGAAAAAAAUGUUAUUUUUAGAUACAUUUUAUGAAUAACUUUUGUUAUGACUAUGGCUGGUAACCAUUACGUAUGUUAUUAAAGAAACAAAAUGUUGGAAAAAAAAAACCAAAAAACCCCCCCCAAGCCUCCUGGCCCCUCUCCCUUCUUCCCAACAGCCACCCAGUCUGGUGCCCCUGGCUCCACUCUCCCUCCUCAGCUCCUGGUCUAUUCCCCUUCCUGCCCCCUUUUUUGCCCAGGGAGGGAGGGGGCAGGGAAUCCC
ensembl:lncRNA